AUGUCCGAGUGCAAGGCCACCGUCAUCUCCAAGCGGUCAGGCGCUGACUGCCCCAAGAUGCCGUUGGAGGAUUCUGCCAAGAAAUGGAAGAAUUCCUUCUUCUACGUCCGCAACCUCGGCGCGGACCGCAUCAACUUGCCGCCCUUCAUCAACUCGCUGCCGAGGGAGAAACGGAAUUGGGGUUACUACCCCAAGCAUCCGUCACAGGGGGUGCUCAACCUGUGCAAGCGGGUGUCGGUGAUGAAGGAGCGGGAAGGGCUCACCGGCACUGACCUCAUCACCGCUUUCAUUGUCCAUCGAGUCCUGCCGUUGCAGUAG
rnacentral:rRNA from 1 species